UACGGAGGGGGCUAGCGUUGUUCGGAAUUACUGGGCGUAAAGCGCACGUAGGCGGCUUUGUAAGUUAGAGGUGAAAGCCCAGGCUUAACCCUGGAAUCGCCUUUAAGACUGCAUCGCUAGAAUCGUGGAGAGGUGAGUGGAAUUCCGAGUGUAGAGGUGAAAUUCGUAGAUAUUCGGAAGAACACCAGUGGCGAAGGCGACUCACUGGACACGUAUUGACGCGUGAGGUGCGAAAGCGUGGGGAGCAAACAGG
rnacentral:rRNA from 1 species